rnacentral:tmRNA from 1 species
GGGGGCGCAAACGGCAAUCGAUUCCCGUGCAUCCCCGUUCGCGGCAAGUCGAGGGCUUGGGGUAGGUUGGCCUCGUAAAAAAACCUGCUCGAAGAAAAUAACUGCCGACGCUGAGUUGGCUCUUGCUGCUUAAGCGAAUCGCUGAGCAGUAGGCGUUUGUUUCGUUUCGCGCCGGCGCGAACGAGACAGGCGUGUUUAAUCGCCGGACGAUGCAUUCAUGGUUAUGAGCUCCAUGAAUGAGUCGCACAAAAAAGCUCGGCGUAUCGUCUGCAUCGCAGGCGGCUUGGCCAGCAGACAUGCGCGUUUGUCAAUCAAGCCGCUAAACUUGUAGAAACGAGCGAGGUUCCACGAGAAGACGAGGGUUCGACUCCCUCCGCCUCCA